AUUGAACGCUGGCGGCAGGCUUAACACAUGCAAGUCGAACGCUCGUAGCAAUACGGGAGUGGCGGACGGGUGAGUAACGCGUGGGAACGUGCCCUGAGGUACGGAAUAACUGCGGGAAACUGCAGCUAAUACCGUAUGAGCCCCGCAAGGGGGAAAGAUUUAUCGCCUUAGGAGCGGCCCGCGUCGGAUUAGCUAGUUGGUGGGGUAACGGCUUACCAAGGCUUCGAUCCGUAGCUGGUCUGAGAGGACGAUCAGCCACACUGGGACUGAGACACGGCCCAGACUCCUACGGGAGGCAGCAGUGGGGAAUCUUGCGCAAUGGGGGCAACCCUGGCGCAGCCAUGCCGCGUGAAUGAUGAAGGCCUUAGGGUUGUAAAGUUCUUUUGCCCGUGACGAUGAUGACGGUAACGGGAGAAUAAGCUCCGGCUAACUUCGUGCCAGCCGCCGCAGUAAAAC
rnacentral:rRNA from 1 species